GCAUAUCAAUAAGCGGAGGAAAAGAAACUAACAAGGAUUCCCCUAGUAACGGCGAGUGAAGCGGGAAAAGCUCAAAUUUGUAAUCUGGCGCCUUUGGCGUCCGAGUUGUAAUCUCGAGAAGUAUUUUCCGCGCUGGACCGCACAUAAGUCUGUUGGAAUACAGCGUCAUAGUGGUGAGAACCCCGUAUAGGGUGCGGAUGCCCAGUGCUUUGUGAUAUACUUUCGAAGAGUCGAGUUGUUUGGGAAUGCAGCUCAAAUUGGGUGGUAAAUUCCAUCUAAAGCUAAAUAUUGGCGAGAGACCGAUAGCGAACAAGUACCGUGAGGGAAAGAUGAAAAGCACUUUGGAAAGAGAGUUAACAGUACGUGAAAUUGUUGGAAGGGAAACGCUUGAAGUCAGACUUGCAUUUUGGAGUUCAGCCGCAAGGUGUAUUCUUCAAUUCGCAGGCCAGCAUCAGUUUUUGGGGGUGGAAAAGCGUGGUUUGAAGGUAGCAGUCUCGGCUGUGUUAUAGCUUUCCACUGGAUUCACUUUUGGGGACUGAGGAACGCAGUACGCUUUUUGCAAGAUUUUCGGAUCUUUCGUACUUAGGAUGCUGGUGGAAUGGCUUUAAACGACCCGUCUU
rnacentral:rRNA from 1 species